ACACUCGAUACAGUUUUAUUUUGUAUUCAUCAUUGUGACGCAAGCGUUCGCCUUCCUAUUUGCGAUUCGUUGGCCCCUUUCGCCGGUAACUACCAAGUGGCGCCCAGGAAGGAUGUGAUGGAGCAAUCGAGCUAGCCCUUAUACCACGAACAUAUCCGCUUUCGAAUAAAAUUAUUUGUACGCAAAUAUGCGAGCAAACGUGUUUAUCGAAUGAUAUCUUAAUGGAGGAAGAUUUUAAGCUGCAGGUCUCCACGACCGCGGUUGUUGUUCUGUUGGAUGUUCGUUAUUUGUAAAAGUGACCGGGAAUGAUUUUAAUGAAUCUUCAGGAAGUUCAAUUUUGUAUGGAAAAGUCAAUGAACUAAUAAACUUGUUCAUUUUUCGAGCCCACUCGUUGGAACCGUCCAUUUUGCGUGUCCUACGGGUUCCCUUUAAAUUUCAGAAUGGUUCCUUGAAAUGAGAAGCAGUUUUUCAAUAAACUAAAAAUAAGAACAUAAAUAACAUAUUUUUAUGGAUAAAGCGAGAAAUAGUUUUACAAUUUUGUACGUACUAAUACGUAAUAUCGUUAUAUCACAUAUUGUAUUGCUCUGAAGAUCAAAGGAAAUUGUUCUUACAGAUAAUUUAAUAUAUGACGUAACCACAAGGCAAAACGAACAAAACAAAGUUGUUUUUCUGAUCGAUUAUAUUUUUGCUGAUAUUAAUACAUAUUAGUUAUAAGAAAUUAAAAUGACGAUUCAUUCUGAACUGUGCUUGUAAAUUGAUGAUUCUGAGCUUUCUAUUCUUUUCAUUUCUUUCGACUUUAUAUUAUUCUCAAGCAAUUUUUUAAUUAUACAACAUUUAUUCUUUUUUUUUUGGUAUCCCCAGAUAAGACCUCGAAUUUUUCUGCCAUGCUUCUUUUCAAGUGUAAAAACACUUUAUAAUUAAUUAGAAUAAAUAUACAUCGUUAAGGAAAAAGCACUGAUAUUAUACGUUGCAACAUUAUCGCUAAACAUAGUUUCAUUUCCUUUGUUAACAUUGCAAUUCAUUAAUGGUUUUUCAUUGACAAUGCAUUUUCCUCAAAAAGUAUUUCCAACGUUAUUUUAUAAACAGUGUCAUAAUAAAUGUUAUAAACAAUUAAAUCAAUUCUUACAGUGUUUGUUUGAUGUAAACGAAUGAUAUACAAUUUCUCUACCAUAUUAAUUGAUACACUUUGAAAAAGUUGAAUUCUUGCAAAAAUAAUUUUAUGGAAAUCUAAUCACAGUGGUCUUUUCUAUUUUGGUUAUAAAAUUUAAGAAUGGACACCCCUUUGAAAUAAUUCUAGAUAUUUAUGCUUUCCGCUAACAUCUCUGAAACUAUAAAAGAUAUUACAAAAUUUUUAAUAUAAAAGUUGUACAUCUCGAUAGGAUAUCAAAUUGUUAUCAAACAUAUUUUUUGAGAAAUUAAUAUUUUUCGAGAAUCUCUUUUUUACAAACCAUACUUCUUCUUUUCUUUAGAAAUUCUUUUUUCAUAUAUAAUAUAAAUUACAGCUGUAUGUUAUUUAACAAAAUGUGCUUCAUUUUGAGCGGGCAAGUGAAAAAAAAAUUUUAUAGACAAUUUUUGAUUUGGACUAAAAUUAACGAGGCCCCUUGUGAAUUCUUAAUAAAAUCAUUCUCUCAUUUGUAAAAAAUUGGGUGUUUACGAUAGAAAAAAACUUUCUGUGUGUGCUUCUAGAGUUCCAUGAGAUCUAUAACGAAAAAAAGUUUCAAUCCAAAAUGUUAAUUAUUAAGAAACUAUGAAAAGAAUAUAAAAAUAGACUCUUUCAUCAGUUUGAUAUUUUAAAAAAAUUCUUCACCUAUAGACACGCAGAUUCUCGUUUUGAUGAUUUGAAAUCCGUUUACUCAAUCAAGAGUUAUGAUUUUUUCAAAGUUUAAUCCUGAAUUCUGGCCGAUCCGGUGCACGGUACAGAAUACACAUGUAUUGUAUAUUGCAUAGUAGCUCG